rnacentral:rRNA from 1 species
UACAGAGGGGGCAAGCGUUGUUCGGAAUUACUGGGCGUAAAGGGCGCGUAGGCGGCCUUCUAAGUCGAACGUGAAAUCCCUGGGCUCAACCCAGGAACUGCGUCCGAUACUGGCAGGCUUGAAUCCGGGAGAGGGAUGUGGAAUUCCAGGUGUAGCGGUGAAAUGCGUAGAUAUCUGGAGGAACACCGGUGGCGAAGGCGGCAUCCUGGACCGGUAUUGACGCUGAUGCGCGAAAGCCAGGGGAGCAAACGGG